AGUGAACGCUGGCGGUAGGCCUAACACAUGCAAGUCGAACGGCAGCACAGUAAGAGCUUGCUCUUACGGGUGGCGAGUGGCGGACGGGUGCGGAAUACAUCGGAAUCUACUUUUUCGUGGGGGAUAACGUAGGGAAACUUACGCUAAUACCGCAUACGACCUACGGGUGAAAGCAGGGGAUCUUCGGACCUUGCGCGAUUGAAUGAGCCGAUGUCGGAUUAGCUAGUUGGCGGGGUAAAGGCCCACCAAGGCGACGAUCCGUAGCUGGUCUGAGAGGGUGAUCAGCCACACUGGAACUGAGACACGGUCCAGACUCCUACGGGAGGCAGCAGUGGGGAAUAUUGGACAAUGGGCGCAAGCCUGAUCCAGCCAUACCGCGUGGGUGAAGAAGGCCUUCGGGUUGGAGAGCCCUUUUGUUGGGAAAGAAAAGCAGCAGGUUAAUACCCCGCUGUUCUGACGGUACCCAAAGAAUAAGCACCGGCUAACUUCGUG
rnacentral:rRNA from 1 species